GACGAACGCUGGCGGCGUGCCUAAUACAUGCAAGUAGAACGCUGAAGGAGGAGCUUGCUCUUCUGGAUGAGUUGCGAACGGGUGAGUAACGCGUAGGUAACCUGCCUGGUAGCGGGGGAUAACUAUUGGAAACGAUAGCUAAUACCGCAUAACAGUAGAUGUUGCAUGACAUUUGCUUAAAAGGUGCAAUUGCACCACUACCAGAUGGACCUGCGUUGUAUUAGCUAGUUGGUGGGGUAACGGCUCACCAAGGCGACGAUACAUAGCCGACCUGAGAGGGUGAUCGGCCACACUGGGACUGAGACACGGCCCAGACUCCUACGGGAGGCAGCAGUAGGGAAUCUUCGGCAAUGAACGGAAGUCUGACCGAGCAACGCCGCGUGAGUGAAGAAGGUUUUCGGAUCGUAAAGCUCUGUUGUAAGAGAAGAACGAGUGUGAGAGUGGAAAGUUCACACUGUGACGGUAUCUUACCAGAAAGGGACGGCUAACUACGUG
rnacentral:rRNA from 1 species